UACGUAGGUCGCAAGCGUUGUCCGGAUUUACUGGGCGUAAAGAGCGCGCAGGCGGCUGGUCAAGUCCGAUGUGAAAUCUCCCGGCUUAACUGGGAAACUGCAUCGGAAACUGAUCGGCUUGAAGGUGGGAGAGGGUAGUGGAAUUCCCGGUGUAGUGGUGAAAUGCGUAGAUAUCGGGAGGAACACCAGAGGCGAAAGCGGCAUCCUGGGCCGGGCCUGACGCUGAGGCGUGAAAGCGUGGGGAGCGAACCGG
rnacentral:rRNA from 1 species